rnacentral:rRNA from 1 species
AGUGAACGCUGGCGGUAGGCCUAACACAUGCAAGUCGAACGGCAGCACAGUAAGAGCUUGCUCUUACGGGUGGCGAGUGGCGGACGGGUGAGGAAUAAAUCGGAAUCUACUUUUUCGUGGGGGAUAACGUAGGGAAACUUACGCUAAUACCGCAUACGACCUACGGGUGAAAGCAGGGGAUCUUCGGACCUUGCGCGAUUGAAUGAGCCGAUGUCGGAUUAGCUAGUUGGCGGGGUAAAGGCCCACCAAGGCGACGAUCCGUAGCUGGUCUGAGAGGAUGAUCAGCCACACUGGAACUGAGACACGGUCCAGACUCCUACGGGAGGCAGCAGUGGGGAAUAUUGGACAAUGGGCCCAACCCUGAUCCAGCCAUACCGCGUGGGUGAAGAAGGCCUUCGGGUUGUAAAGCCCUUUUGUUGGGAAAGAAAAGCAGCAGGUUAAUACCCCGCUGUUCUGACGGUACCCAAAGAAUAAGCACCGGCUAACUUCGUG